AGAGACAAGACAGUAGGAUCCAGCUUGUUCGUGGCCUCUCUGAAUUCCUCUGGUCCCAGGAAACACAGGCAUCCUUCACCUUUAGGAGGCACUACCUGGCAAGGAGCCACUUUUGCUGUAAAUGUGUUCCUGACCUAUAUUUUGCCUUCUUUGGGGACUCUUUCAUAUAUGGAAUUGAAAAGGGGUGGAUUUUUGCAAAAUACAGCACAACUCAAAAAAAUGACAGGUGUUCCUUUGCCAAAACAGCUCUGUUUUACAGAAAGCAUCACCAGCGCUUCAUGGUGACAUCUGAAGAUGAUGCCAAGCAGGUGAGGUUUGAGAGAUGGGGGCUGACUCUGAGAAAGGAAAACAGCCAGAGUGGCUUCGGUGCCUAGUAAGGAGCAGACCUGAGCACAUCUAGAUUUAAGUAUUUAAUGAGAUAUAAGUGACGUUGGAAUUUGGUCCUGUCUAUAUUUUUAGUGACCUUGCUUUAGUGAUCAUACCGGGGCCCCUUGCUUGGCACAGAAUGGAAUUUUCCUCCACAUCAGGGCUGCAAGGGAGCAGAAAGGCUGGCGGGCCAAUUUAAGGA